rnacentral:lncRNA from 1 species
AAAUUGGGGGAAAAUCUUGGGGAAAAAAAAAAAGGAAAAUUCCCGAAAAACCCCUGGGUGUCGUUGCAGGUGCGGCCGGAACUGGCGGGACCAAGUGUGACACGGAGGGGACACCUGAGUGUGUGACACACCUGGGACACACCUGGGACACACCUGAGUGUGAGUGUGACACACCUGGGUGUGUGUGACACACCUAUGACACACCUGAGUGUGUGUGUGACACACCUAUGACACACCUGAGUGUGUGUGUGACACACCUGGGACACACUUGAGUGUGUGUGUGACACACCUGGGACACACUUGAGUGUGUGUGUGACACACCUGAGUGUGUGUGACACACCUGGGACACACCCGUGACCCCUCUGUGUGAGUGUGACAUCAUGACACGCCUGUGACACACCUGUGAGCUUGUGUGUGACACACCUGUGUGUGACACCUGUGUGUGUGUGACGCACCAGGCACACCUGGAUGAGUGUGGCACCCGUCCCUGACUGUGUCACCUGUGUCCCCAGGUGUCACACCUGGCCCUGGGUGUGUCCCAGGUGUCUCUGAGUGUGUCACACCUGUCCUUGAGUGGGUGACACCUGUCUGUCUGUGUCACACCUGCCCAGGAGUGUCACAGGUGUCUCUGACAAUGUCACCUGUGUCCCCAAGUGUGUCCCACCUGUCCCUGACAGUGUCACACCUAUCCCUGGGUGUGUCCCACCUAUCCCUGGGUGUGUCCCACAUGUCCCUGGGUGUGUCACACCUGCCCAUGUCCCACCUGUCCCCAGGUGUGUCCCACAUGUCCCUCGGUGUGUCCCAGGUGUCCCUGACAGUGUCACACCUGUCCCCAGCUGUGUCACACCCGCCCAUGUCCCACCUGUCUCCAGGUGUCUCACACAUGUCCCUGGGUGUGUCCCAGGUGUCCCCGGGUGUGUUCCAGGUGUCCCUGACAGUGUCCCAUCUGUCCCCAGGUGUGUCCCACCUGUCCUUGGGUGUGUCCCAGGUGUCCCUGGGUGUGUCCCACCUGUCCCUGGGUGUGUCCCCGGGUGUGUCCCAGGUGUCUCUGAUGUGUCCCACCUGUCCCCGGGUGUGUCCCAUCUGUCCCCAGGUGUGUCCCACAUGUCCCUGUGUCCCACCUGUCCCUGAGUGUGUCCCAGGUGUCCCUGACAGUGUCACACCUGUCCCCAGGAGUGUCACAUCUGUCCAUGUCCCUGUGUCCCACCUGUCCUUGGGUGUGUCAUAGGUGUCCCUGACAGUGUCACAACCGUCCGUGUCCCAUCUGUCCCCAGGUGUGUCCCACCUGUCCUUGGGUGUGUCCCUGACAGUGUGCCACCUGUCCCUGGGUGUGUCCCAGGUGUCCCUGACAGUGUCACACCCGUCCCUGUCCCACCUGU